CAGAGAUUACACAUGUAAACAAAAUAAGAAAGAAUCUAUAUAAUUGUCUCUCUGUUCUGUGGAUCGACCUGAUGCUCCAAUUCUUAACAUGGAAGAGGCUGUCGAACAAAAUAUGGAAGAAACUCUAUUGUAAGUGACUUCCUUGUGUUUUAUGGACCUGAAGCUGCAAAAGUGUUGGUUGCUAUGCAGUAGAAGAGUAAUUAGGUCAACAGAAGUCUGGUACUAAACAAAACCAAAUGAAAGAAAUGGCUACUGUUCUUAAAGAUAAAGGUCUUAAUGAAAGCAAUUUAGAAAAUGCUUAUAAGAGGGAUGAUAAUAAAGUUCAAGUCGAAGUUUGAUUCUUUUGUGAAUGAGAUGAAGGUAAAUGGAGAGAAUAUACAGGAAAGGUAUGCAAAUCUCCUGGAGAAAUUAUUCGAAAUCAGUGUGAACAGAAUUCCAUAACAGUCUUCAAACCAGAAAAAAUGGAAGUGGAAGAUCAAGUUCUAAGAGAAACCUUUACCCUUCAGGUUCAGGCCUUCAUGGUGUGACUGUUGCUAAAAAUGUUGGAGUGGAAGAUCCAGUUACCAAUUCCAAAUAUUGUUUAAGAAGACCACAAAACGAAGCAAGAUAAUAUAGACGAACACAUUCUCCAUAUGCUUGGAUAGGAUUUGUCCCUU
rnacentral:lncRNA from 1 species